GUGAGCUGAGAGAUGGCCUCAUCUGCAUGCUUCCUCCUCAACCAUGCUCCAUCCACCCCUGCCGCCACCUCUAGGACCUCAUCUCAUCGCCUGGCACCAACCAUCAAGCCCUCUCAGCUCAUCUGUCGGGCUCAGAAGAGCUCCGGCACAGAAGAAGACAGCUCAACCGCUGUCAGCCGUCGGUUGGCUCUGACCAUCCUCAUCGGCUCUGCGGCCAUCGGCACCAAGAUCUCGCCUGCCAAUGCUGCCUAUGGAGAAGCCGCUAAUGUUUUCGGAAAGGCGAAGACUAACACUGACUUCCUUCCAUACACCGGUAAUGGGUUCAAUCUGUUGAUACCAGCAAAGUGGAACCCGAGCAAGGAGGUUGAGUUCCCAGGUCAGGUGCUCAGAUACGAGGACAAUUUCGACGUCACCAGCAAUGUUAGUGUCACCAUCACCCCCACCUCCAAGAAGACGAUCACCGACUACGGCAGCCCAGAGGAGUUCCUCUCUUCAGUUGAUUACUUGCUAGGAAAACAGGCUUACUUCGGCAAAACCAUAUCUGAGGGCGGAUUUGACCCCGACUCAGUGGCG
rnacentral:misc_RNA from 1 species